UGAGUAACCUGCCCUUAACUCUGGGAUAAGCCUGGGAAACUGGGUCUAAUACCGGAUAUGACUCCUCAUCGCAUGGUGGGGGGUGGAAAGCUUUUUGUGGUUUUGGAUGGACUCGCGGCCUAUCAGCUUGUUGGUGAGGUAAUGGCUCACCAAGGCGACGACGGGUAGCCGGCCUGAGAGGGUGGCCGGCCACACGUGGGACUGAGACACGGCCCAGACCUCCGUACGGGAGGCAG
rnacentral:rRNA from 1 species